CGAACGCUGGCGGCAGGCCUAACACAUGCAAGUCGAGCGCAGUCCUUCGGGACCGAGCGGCGGACGGGUUAGUAACGCGUGGGAACAUACCCUUUUCUACGGAAUAGCCUCGGGAAACUGAGAGUAAUACCGUAUAAGCCCUUCGGGGGAAAGAUUUAUCGGGAAAGGAUUGGCCCGCGUUAGAUUAGAUAGUUGGUGGGGUAAUGGCCUACCAAGUCUACGAUCUAUAGCUGGUUUUAGAGGAUGAUCAGCAACACUGGGACUGAGACACGGCCCAGACUCCUACGGGAGGCAGCAGUGGGGAAUCUUAGACAAUGGGCGCAAGCCUGAUCUAGCCAUGCCGCGUGUGUGAUGAAGGUCUUAGGAUCGUAAAGCACUUUCGCCAGGGAUGAUAAUGACAGUACCUGGUAAAGAAACCCCGGCUAACUCCGUGCCAGCAGCCGCGGUAAUACGGAGGGGGUUAGCGUUGUUCGGAAUUACUGGGCGUAAAGCGUACGUAGGCGGAUCAGAAAGUAGGGGGUGAAAUCCCAGGGCUCAACCCUGGAACUGCCUCCUAAACUCCUGGUCUUGAGUUCGAGAGAGGUGAGUGGAAUUCCAAGUGUAGAGGUGAAAUUCGUAGAUAUUUGGAGGAACACCAGUGGCGAAGGCGGCUCACUGGCUCGAUACUGACGCUGAGGUACGAAAGUGUGGGGAGCAAACAGGAUUAGAUACCCUGGUAGUCCACACCGUAAACGAUGAAUGCCAGUCGUCGGGCAGUAUACUGUUCGGUGACACACCUAACGGAUUAAGCAUCCGC
rnacentral:rRNA from 1 species